rnacentral:rRNA from 1 species
CCUACGGGAGGCAGCAGUGAGGAAUAUUGGUCAAUGGGCGAGAGCCUGAACCAGCCAAGUCGCGUGAGGGAAGACGGUCCUAUGGAUUGUAAACCUCUUUUUUCGGGGAGCAAAAAGGCCUCGUGAGGCCACAAGAGAGAGUACCCGAAGAAAAAGCAUCGGCUAACUCCGUGCCAGCAGCCGCGGUAAUACGGAGGAUGCGAGCGUUAUUCGGUUUUAUUGGGUUUAAAGGGUGCGUAGGCGGACUGGAAAGUCAGCGGUAAAAUCGAGAGGCUCAACCUCUUUCCGCCAUUGAAACUGUCUGUCUUGAGUGGGCGGGAAGUAUGCGGAAUGCGUGGUGUAGCGGUGAAAUGCAUAGAUAUCACGCAGAACUCCGAUUGCGAAGGCAGCAUACCGGCGCCCGACUGACGCUGAGGCACGAAAGCGUGGGUAUCGAACAGGAUUAGAUACCCGGGUAGUC